CGACGAGUGGCGGACGGGUGAGUAAUACUUAGGAAUCUGCCCAGUAGUGGGGGACAACUCGGGGAAACUCGAGCUAAUACCGCAUACGCCCUAAGGGGGAAAGCGGGGGAUCUUCGGACCUCGCGCUAUUGGAUGAGCCUAAGUCGGAUUAGCUUGUAGGUAGGGUAACGGCCUACCUAGGCGACGAUCCGUAGCUGGUCUGAGAGGACGAUCAGCCACACUGGGACUGAGACACGGCCCAG
rnacentral:rRNA from 1 species